rnacentral:rRNA from 1 species
UCUCCUGGAAACGGGUGGUAAUGCCGGAUGCUCCAACUUUCCGCAUGGUUUGUUGGGAAAGCUUUCGCGGUAUGGGAUGGGGUCGCGUCCUAUCAGCUUGACGGCGGGGUAACGGCCCACCGUGGCUUCGACGGGUAGCCGGCCUGAGAGGGCGACCGGCCACAUUGGGACUGAGAUACGGCCCAGACUCCUACGGGAGGCAGCAGUGGGGAAUAUUGCACAAUGGGCGCAAGCCUGAUGCAGCGACGCCGCGUGAGGGAUGGAGGCCUUCGGGUUGUAAACCUCUUUUAUCGGGGAGCAAGCGAGAGUGAGUUUACCCGUUGAAUAAGCACCGGCUAACUACGUGCCAGCAGCCGCGGUAAUACGUAGGGUGCAAGCGUUAUCCGGAAUUAUUGGGCGUAAAGGGCUCGUAGGCGGUUCGUCGCGUCCGGUGUGAAAGUCCAUCGCUUAACGGUGGAUCCGCGCCGGGUACGGGCGGGCUUGAGUGCGGUAGGGGAGACUGGAAUUCCCGGUGUAACGGUGGAAUGUGUAGAUAUCGGGAAGAACACC